GCUGACUAGCUAGCCAACACAUUUGGUCUAACACCACAACAUAUAUAACCCCACAAAACUUAAAAUUAAGUCAACAAACCAUUUUUCCACCUUA
rnacentral:rRNA from 1 species